rnacentral:rRNA from 1 species
UUUUGGCCUCAGUAACGGCGAGUGAAGCGGCAAAAGCUCAAAUUUGAAAUCUAGCACCUUCGGUGUUCGAGUUGUAAUUUGAAGAUGGUAACCUUGGGUUUGGCUCUUGUCUAUGUUCCUUGGAACAGGACGUCAUAGAGGGUGAGAAUCCCGUCUGAUGAGAUGCCCAUUCCUAUGUAAGGUGCUAUCGAAGAGUCGAGUUGUUUGGGGAUGCAGCUCUAAGUGGGUGGUAAAUUCCAUCUAAAGCUAAAUAUUGGCGAGAGACCGAUAGCGAACAAGUACAGUGAUGGAAAGAUGAAAAGAACUUUGAAAAGAGAGUGAAAAAGUACGUGAAAUUGUUGAAAGGGAAGGGCAUUAGAUCAGACUUGGUGUUUUACGAUUAUCUUCUCUUCUUGAGUUGUGCACUCGUAUUUCACUGGGCCAGCAUCGAUUCGGAUGGCAAGAUAAUGGCAGUUGAAUGUGGCUUCACUUCGGUGGAGUGUUAUAGCUUCUGCUGAUAUUGCCUGUCUGGAUCGAGGGCUGCGUCUUUUGACUAGGAUGCUGGCGUAAUGAUCUAAUGCCGCCCGUCUGAAAAACAAGGGGACC